rnacentral:rRNA from 1 species
GACGAACGCUGGCGGCGUGCUUAACACAUGCAAGUCGAGCGGAGCGGCGAACGGGUGAGUAACGCGUGAGUAAAUGCCCCCCUCUCUGGGAUAACAGUUGGAAACGGCUGCUAAUACCGGAUAGUGGGGGCUGACUCGCGUCCUAUCAGCUUGUUGGUUGGGUAGGGGCCUACCAAGGAGACGACGGGUAGCCGGCCUUAGAGGGCGACCGGCCACCUUGGGCUGAGAUACGGCCCAAACUCCUACGUUGUGCAGCAGGGGGGAAUAUGGCACAAUGGUGGAACCCCUGAUGCAGCAACGCCGCGUGCGGUAUGACGGCCUUCGGGUUGUAAACCGCUUUCAGCCAUGACGCGGUAGUGGCAGAAGAAGCACCGGCUAACUACGUGCCAGCCGCCGCGGUAAUAC